UGAUUCCGAGCUCGAUGGGUCAUCUUUAUUACAGCAAUGUACGCAUGGGUGUGAGUGCACUUGGAGGUAGCAAACAGAUGCUUAUUCAAAGAUGCAUGACAUGUAGCUACUGAAGACCAAUUUACUGUGACUGUACACAUCUCUCUUCCUCAUUGCCAGUCACAUAAGUUGUUUGCUUGGAAUUUGAUUUGCUGUUUUGCCUCAUGUUUGUGUAAUGCUACACAUAUUGUCGAUCUAUUUCAAAUCCCAAGCAUGUUUGUUUGAAAAACAGCCUCCUCCACAGGCCCCUAAUCUGCCUUUCAAUGAUCCAACUCUUUUAUUAGACCAAUCUAAUCCACAGCAGCCCCAAACCCCUCCUCCCCUCCUUGGGCGCGUCUUGGACACAGAACCUUCCAUCUGUCGGGGACUGACCGCGUGUGGGACGGCCUCCCUCUGCAAACGGGACCUUCCAGUCAAAGAAAGGUGUGAAACAGAAGUCAAGCAGCUGAUCAACAAUUAAAGGCUCACUAAGUUUUAUAUGUAAAGAAUUUAAAAAAAGCAACUUUGGGAAAUGACUUUAAAAAGACAUGCAGCAACCUAAGAAGACUUCAGUCAUAUCACUCAUCCACAUUGUGUUUGUUGCUUCAUAAUGGCUGCCACCACCAUACUGCGUCACAGCUACUAAUGUUACUGUGUUUACUCAAAAUAGUGCUUUCAUCCACUUUAUUAAACAUAAGCAUUAAAACACACAACAAAACAAUGAAGCAUGAAUUGCAAGUGAACUACAUGCAUCCAGGCCAAUAGGGGUCACUAUAAAACAUUUAAACAACGUAGACAAUUAGGUAAAAUGUUUAAUUUUAGUUUACAAUGUUAAAUAAGCAAACGACAGAGCCCACCUUUAAAACUCAUCACUGUAGGCUACACAAUUUUAUCCGCCUUUUGGAAUGAGCGGUCAUUUUCCCACGACUCUGCUGAAUUUAUAGUCAAAACGCGAGGGAGGUUUGGCGCUAAACAUUACCCUCAACAAUUUGGUCUGUUGCCUUAUUAUUACAACCUAGAAUAGACCUAUGCUUCCCCCUCAAUAGUGAGGUAUUUUUAGAUCUCACAUCCGUCUAUUCAAUCAGACAGUUUAUUUAAGAACAUUUCAUUUUGCGCGUGGGCUAAUCGACACAUCCGUAUCAACAGGACCCAUGUAAAUUUCAUCCUAAUGUAAUCAAGCUAAUGGUUUAUGGCCUAAUGGAUGCAGAUUAUAAAAGGAGGAUGGAUGUUUUAUAUACAAUUUGCACCUAAACUUCGGGCCAUUUAUUUUGCUGACAAGAAAAUGCUUCCCAAAAAGGGACUUGGAUGAGGAAUGCUUCAUGAGGCAGUCACAGCGAAAACGUGUGGCAGGAAUGAGUUAACAACGGAGAUGAAUAAAGAACUGUAUGAAACUGCCAGCCAAUCCGCGUUGAGAUUAACACUUCGGACGGAGAUGAUUGGCUAGAGCGGAUUGAAUGCAUGUUCGUUGAUAAGUACAAGAUUUUUGACCCACGUGGGUCGUGUUUCUAUCACGGCGCAGCCAUUGGCUGAAAGGACUUCGCGAGGCCCCUCCCUCGCUCGCUUAUUGGCGCAGCUCUCCUCGUCCUCUCUUGUUCUCAGUCUGCGGAAAUACCCCUGUGCGAGUUGGGAAUCAGCGCGAGCGCCUUCGGCUCGUCGCUUCGCAUCUAUCAGAGAGCGCGUGAAACUAACACGGUUCUGACAUUUGCUGCUGCACCUCUUAACAACCUUAAUAUGAUUUCCUUUAAAAACAUGAUUAUUAGAUAUGAUAUUUAACUCUAUCUUUUCCGCCUCAGCCUGUCUGGAAACACAACACCAUCCGUGUAGCCCGGGGUGUUUUAUUUCAUCCUCUGCUUGUGCUGCAAGGAAUUACUGGAGUCAGAUUCUGUUUCUCUCAAGCAUCCCGUUCAUUCUCGGCCAGUUACAGGUUUUUGCUGGCGAUAUACAAAUUAGAUGGGACAUUACAGAUGAAUGCAUCAAAUAGACGUGCGUCUGCAAAUGCACGCUGUCCAUGAAAAGCAGCCUGAUCAGAUCACAAGCAGAAAAGUGCACAAGUGUGUUUACGCAUGGUUACUUCAUGCAUUUUUUUUUACUGAUUGCACAGACAAUGUAAACGAUGCAUUUGAGAGUGAUGGCAGUCUGUUCGGUGAUCAAUCUGAAACACAAAUCAGCCAAGUGUACAUGCAUCAAGCUCAGACAAAGAGGGUCAAUUAUAAUACCUGGAGAUAUUCUCAUGCAUCUCAAUGGCACUUGCUCGGCUGUCAUCCGCGAUUCUCAUUGGCUAUGGCUGAAAAUUGCUUACGGCUUGAGUAUGUACUUUUUCUGAUUACUUCUGAAGUCUGGAUGCAUGCAGUAUGAAGAUGAUCUGGAUCUGCAUUUUCCAUGUUGUGUUAUAUCACAUGAUCUAUGAGAGCUAGUUAUGUCACUUCACUGCCAUUCACAAAUCCUCUGCUGUGGCCUCAUGGCGUCCAUUAUAUGCACCGAAAAUAAUAAGUCAUUCAGAUUUUAUGACCUCAAACACAAUUUUGAAGCAUUUUGUUAUUUCCUACAAAACAGACGGGUUGUAUGUGAGUUUGGGAGCAGCCAUGGUAGAACUUGUACACAGCCAAUCACCUAAACUGGUCAUAUAAACUAAUGAAUACAAAGUGGCUGGAAAACUAUCAAGGCAACACUGAUUGAUUGGUUGAUGGCACUGUUCAAAAGCAACAAAGAAAAUGCAAUUCACUAUAUUUUACCAUUAAAAUUAUCAUUUUGAAAAGGUAUUACUGGUUUCAUUUAAUCAAAUGUAUCCUAAUGCGUUGUUAAUGCUUUCAUUUGAAUAAGAGUAAAUGCUAAGAACUGAAUACACGAAACACAUAGACAGAGAUCUUUAAAAGCAGGUCUGGUGCAGUUUAACUAAAAUAUGAAAACAAAAGAGACAUCUACACUAAAACAGGACAUGAGGUCAAAAGAUGUACCCAUAAAAGGGAAAGAAUGCUCAGGCAUACCUGCUUUUUCUACCUGUGUUUGGUCUGGAUCAUAAAAGAAAAUUAUACAUUUAGUGCUGGUUUGCUUAGUGUUCACACACACAAAAACAGGUUUAUAAUGUGUAUAUUUGCAGAGGAACUUAAAGAAUGAUCAUGUGACAACAUGCGACAGGAAUCUCUGCUACUGUUUUGACUCCUUUGCACAUUUUAUAAGCUCUUAAACACGAUUUUCAACUGAUUCUUCAAAGGAAUCUUUAUUUAAUUAUCAAAAAGAUAGUGAGAACACUAAGCAAACCACAACUAUACCAUUUUCUUUUUUGGUCUAGCAAACUAAAAGAACAAAA